CCGUAAUCGCCUGCCCAGUGACCGUCCUCGGCCUGCAGCGUGGCGUAGAAACGCAUGCCGUUGCGGGCGGCCUCCCGCGCCGUUCCGGCGGCCGGCAGCGUCCGCAGGAGCGCGUCCGUGUCCAGGCCGACGCUGUGCGCCUCCAGCGCCGUCUGCGCCCGUCGCCCUCCGGCCGCCUCCUCGUCCUCGACGCCGUCAUCCAGGUAGCACCAGCGCUGCCGGCCGCCCUCGCAGCGCAGCCGCCAGGAGGGCAGCGCCGUGGCUGCCGCCGUGCGCCACGGACCGCCGCGCCGCCGCACCACCCCGUCCGCCGCCAUCGCCACCGGUG
rnacentral:lncRNA from 1 species